ensembl:lncRNA
AUGCUUUACAUCUCUCUGGGAAGGAAGUGGAAACACGCUGUGGUUAAGGGUCUCUGCAUUUUGCUGAAACCUUUAGUUGGUUUGACACCAUUGCGAAAGACUGACACAAUGAAGCAAGUAAUUUUCUUCUUCUGUGUAUUUCCUUAUUGGAUUACAGAAAUCACAUCCAAUGAUGCGUCAGUACAAGGAUCUUCUGAUCUGUUAAGAGUUCAACUGGAAGAAAACGUCAGUCUGAACUGCAGCAUGACAGAUCAACAUGACAUCGCCUGGUAUCACCUCAGAUCUGACCGAUUCAAUCAACUGAUUGCGGCAGAAAAGGAUGAAACAGGAAGAAAACUUCUGGUCACCUACAAUCAAAACAGCAUUCGUCUGAUAAUUACUGCAGACUGGCGGAUCACCACAGUGACUUUAACUAUUUCUGGAGUAACAGAGUCAGAUUCUGGUCUUUAUUUCUGUGGAACAAAGUCUGGCACUACAGAGAUGUACUUCAACAAACCCAUCAGACUAGAGAUCCAGGGUCUUUCUGUAACAGAAGAACCAAAAGAAGUUGACAUCACAGAUGGAGUGACUACGAAAGAGAGGGCAAUGAUGUUCGGUGGUGUUGGUCUGGCUGUGCUUGUGUUUUUUCUGGCUACAGUCUUUGCAGGAGGAAUCAUUCACUAUCGAGGUUGGCAGAAAGGAUGGGCCGCAGCCAAACGCUCAUCUCUGAUUCAUCACAAAUCAGAUAAAUGAUACAUUUAUGUGCUUUAUUUUACAGUCUGAGCUUUGCACUGCCAGUUAAAUCAGCAUUACUGCAGGUUACCACAAAUAAAACAGAAAACUGUGACCUAGAUGCCUUUCCU